CUUGCUUUCUUUGCUGGCGACCGGCGCACGGGUGAGUAACACGUAUCCAACCUGCCCUUUACUCGGGGAUAGCCUUUCGAAAGAAAGAUUAAUACCCGAUAGUAUAAUGAUUCCGCAUGGUUUCAUUAUUAAAGGAUUCCGGUAAAGGAUGGGGAUGCGUUCCAUUAGGUUGUUGGUGAGGUAACGGCUCACCAAGCCUUCGAUGGGUAGGGGUUCUGAGAGGAAGGUCCCCCACAUUGGAACUGAGACACGGUCCAA
rnacentral:rRNA from 1 species